rnacentral:sRNA from 1 species
AUUACGAUGAAAUCUAAGUGUUGAGUUCGCUCUUCACAAGACUAGAUUUCAUCCCUCAAAGAUUUUUUCAAGUUCCACCUCUUGGAAAAUAUAUUCAUUUCGGUGAAAUCUAAGUGUUGAGCUCGCUCUCCACAAUACUAGAUUUCAUCCCUCAAA